UGCAACUAGGUGGGGCCUAGUGGGAGAUCUUCAGGUCCCUGGGGGCAUGUCCUUGAAGGGGCCUUUGGGACCCUGCUCUACUUUCUCUUUGCUUUCUGGCCAUGAGGUCAGCAGUGUGGCUCCACUUCAUGUCCGUGCCUUCCCACAGCCUACAAGGAAGGGGGCCAACCAAUCAUGGACUCCAAAACCUUAGCUCACAACCUUUUUGUCUUUACAAGUUGAUUAUCUUAGAUAUUUAUUACAGUAAGGGAAAACUGACUAAUAGACAGUAGGACACCAUUCCAACAAUUCUUGCUCCAAAUACCACAAAUCUAGGUAAAACGUGUCAGCCAACUCUGCACCCUGAAGAUCAUCCCAAUUUCUUCCUUUUCCCACUCAUUACAACUGAAAGACAGAUGUGUUGAGUUCUGAGUCCAGAUAGUACUUCUACCAGAAAGUCUCAAUUUGCAGAGACUCACACAAUUGCAGCUUGCACCCACCCUCCAUUUGGUGCCUUCCCCUUUUCUCAUGUUCCAAAUUGAGUUUCUCUCUGUAUCACUGUCUCCCAGGCAGCCUCACAGUCUGACCCAGCACUGAUCUUUCCAUUAUCAUGAGCAUUCCCCAAACCACAUUAGAAACCACAAAACCCUUUCUUGUUCUCGCAGAAGCGCAGAGUCUAAGAAAUUACACUUCAUUAAUUGUAGAUUACCUCGUCUUCUUAAAAACCAUAGUUGCCGUUCUUGGACUUCUUAGGAGCAUAGGAACCUUGAGAGGUCAAGGUGUUAGUUACAUCACCUAUUAAUAAUUUUUUAAGAACAUGGAAGAAUCCCCAAAAGUGCUGAAUUCACUUAAAACAAUAACAACAAGAGAAAACAACCCCCAAACUCACUAAACUCUGCCCCCAGCUAUUAGGAUUUAGGGAAGGUUUUUGUUUAUUUGUUUGUUUGUUUAUUUUACUGUAUGGAGGACUGCAUCCAGAGUUUUCCACAAGUGCUCUACCACUGAGUUACACCCCCAGUCCAGUUAAGGUAAACCUGAAGCCCAUCUGUCAAUCAUCUCAGAAGCACACUUGAGUCCUCAUACUAUAGAAGAAAAUUGGCUGUGAGUCUAAUAAAGGGACUGGAUACCUUGAAGACCACAGGUUAAAUGUGAAUAUAAACACUAAGAGGGGGCUGGGGAUGUGGCUCAAGCGGUAGCGCGUUCGCCUGGCAUGCAUGCGGCCCGGGUUUGAUCCUCAGCACCACAUACAAAAAAAGAUGUUGUGUCCGCC
rnacentral:lncRNA from 1 species